rnacentral:misc_RNA from 1 species
GGAUCUCGUUACGUGAACCGGCGGAAGAGAUCAUUACCGAGUGAUGGGCCCUCUGGGUCCAACCUCCCACCCGUGUCUAUCGUACCUUGUUGCUUCGGCGGGCCCGCCGUUUCGACGGCCGCCGGGGAGGCCUUGCGCCCCCGGGCCCGCGCCCGCCGAAGACCCCAACAUGAACGCUGUUCUGAAAGUAUGCAGUCUGAGUUGAUUAUCGUAAUCAGUUAAAACUUUCAACAACGGAUCUCUUGGUUCCGGCAUCGAUGAAGAACGCAGCGAAAUGCGAUAAGUAAUGUGAAUUGCAGAAUUCAGUGAAUCAUCGAGUCUUUGAACGCACAUUGCGCCCCCUGGUAUUCCGGGGGGCAUGCCUGUCCGAGCGUCAUUGCUGCCCUCAAGCACGGCUUGUGUGUUGGGCCCCCGUCCCCCUCUCCCGGGGGACGGGCCCGAAAGGCAGCGGCGGCACCGCGUCCGGUCCUCGAGCGUAUGGGGCUUUGUCACCUGCUCUGUAGGCCCGGCCGGCGCCAGCCGACACCCAACUUUAUUUUUCUAAGGUUGACCUCGGAUCAGGUAGGGAUACCCGCUGAACUUAAGCAUAUCAAUAAGGGAAAAGGGG